CAGUCGCCGCGGUAACACGAAGGGGGCUAGCGUUGUUCGGAUUUACUGGGCGUAAAGCGCACGUAGGCGGAUCGAUCAGUCAGGGGUGAAAUCCCAGAGCUCAACUCUGGAACUGCCUUUGAUACUGUCGAUCUGGAGUAUGGAAGAGGUGAGUGGAAUUCCGAGUGUAGAGGUGAAAUUCGUAGAUAUUCGGAGGAACACCAGUGGCGAAGGCGGCUCACUGGUCCAUUACUGACGCUGAGGUGCGAAAGCGUGGGGAGCAAACAGGAUUAGAUACCCCCGUAGUCCCUGUCUCUUAUAC
rnacentral:rRNA from 1 species